UACGAAGGGGGCUAGCGUUGCUCGGAAUCACUGGGCGUAAAGGGGGCGUAGGCGGGCUUUUAAGUCGGGGGGGAAAUCCUGGAGCUCAACUCCAGAACUGCCUUUGAUACUGAGGAUCUUGAGUUCGGGAGAGGUGAGUGGAACUGCGAGUGUAGAGGUGAAAUUCGUAGAUAUUCGCAAGAACACCAGUGGCGAAGGCGGCUCACUGGCCCGAUACUGACGCUGAGGCACGAAAGCGUGGGGAGCAAACAGG
rnacentral:rRNA from 1 species